UACGUAGGGGGCAAGCGUUGUCCGGAUUUAUUGGGCGUAAAGAGCGUGUAGGCGGCUGGGUAGGUCCGUUGUGAAAACUCGAGGCUCAACCUCGAGACGCCGAUGGAAACCCUCCAGCUAGAGUCCGGAAGAGGAGAGUGGAAUUCCUGGUGUAGCGGUGAAAUGCGCAGAUAUCAGGAAGAACACCAAUUGCGAAGGCAGCUCGCUGGGACGUUACUGACGCUGAGACGCGAAAGCGUGGGGAGCAAACAGG
rnacentral:rRNA from 1 species